ACUAUCUCAAGGAUGAGAUCGAGGAGCUGCGAGCAGAGAUGCUGGAGAUGCGGGACGUCUACAUGGAGGAGGACGUGUACCAGCUACAGGAACUGCGCCAGCAGCUGGACCAGGCCAGCAAGACCUGCCGCAUCCUGCAAUACCGGCUGCGCAAGGCCGAGCGCCGCAGCCUCCGCGCUGCUCAGACUGGCCAGGUGGACGGCGAGCUCAUCCGAGGCCUGGAGCAGGACGUCAAGGUCUCUAAGGACAUCUCCGUGCGGCUGCAUAAGGAGCUCGAGGUGGUGGAGAAGAAACGGGUGCGCCUGGAGGAGGAGAAUGAGGAGCUUCGACAGCGGCUCAUCGAGACCGAGCUGGCUAAGCAGGUGCUGCAGACAGAGCUGGAGCGGCCAAGAGAGCAUUCCUUGAAGAAAAGAGGAACGCGUUCCUUGGGAAAGACAGACAAGAAGCCUUCGGUGCAGGAGGACAGUGCAGACCUGAAGUGCCAGCUGCACUUCGCAAAGGAGGAGUCGGCCCUCAUGUGCAAGAAGCUCACCAAGCUGGUCAAGGAAAACGACAGCAUGAAGGAGGAGCUGCUCAAGUACCGCUCGCUCUACGGUGAUCUAGACAGCGCCCUGUCGGCCGAGGAGCUGGCAGAUGCACCCCACUCGCGGGAGACCGAGCUGAAGGUGCAUCUGAAGCUGGUGGAGGAGGAGGCCAACCUGCUGAGCCGCCGCAUCGUGGAGCUGGAGGUGGAGAACCGAGGCUUGCGGGCCGAGAUGGACGACAUGAAGGACCACGGUGGCAGUGGUGGGGGCCCGGAGGCACGCCUGGCCUUCUCUGCGCUGGGUGGCGGUGAGUGUGGGGAGAGCUUGGCAGAACUGCGGCGACACCUGCAGUUUGUGGAGGAGGAGGCAGAGCUGCUGCGGCGCUCCUCGGCCGAACUUGAGGACCAGAACAAACUACUGCUGGGCGAGCUGGCCAAAUACCGUUCAGAGCACGAGCUGGACGUGACGCUGUCAGAGGACAGCUGCUCCGUGCUCAGCGAGCCCUCGCAGGAGGAGCUGGCGGCCGCCAAACUGCAGAUCGGUGAGCUCAGUGGCAAAGUCAAGAAGCUCCAGUAUGAGAACCGUGUGCUCCUGUCCAACCUCCAGCGCUGCGAUCUGGCCUCCUGCCAGAGAACACGGCCAAUGCUGGAGACGGACGCCGAGGCGGGGGACUCUGCCCAGUGCGUGCCCGCUGCCCUUGGCGAGGCCCAUGGCCCCCAUGCCACCCGGCUCUGCAGAGCCAGGGAUGCUGAAGUGCUGCCUGGUCUGCGGGAGCAGGCCGCCCUGGUCAGCAAGGCCAUUGACAUCCUGGUGGCCGACGCUAACGGCUUCUCAGCUGGCCUCCGCCUGUAUCUGGACAACGAGUGUGCCGACUUUCGGCUGCACGAGGCCCCCGACAACAGUGAGGGCCCCAGGGACACCAAGCUCAUCCAUGCUAUCCUGGUUCGGCUGAGCAUGCUGCAGCAGGAGCUUAACGCCUUCACGCGGAAGGCAGACGCGGUCCUUGGGAGUUCUGCCAAGGAGGCGCAAGAGCCCUUCUCGUCGCUGACCCCCUGUGGCUCCCAGGGGCCCUCCAAGGAGAUUCUUCUGGCCAAAGACCUUGGCUCAGACUUCCAGGUGCAGCCACCUGACUUCAGGGACCUGCCGGAAUGGGAGCCCAGGAUACGAGAGGCCUUCCGCACUGGUGACUUGGACUCCAAGCCCGACCCCAGCCGGAGCUUCAGGCCUUACCGAGCUGAAGACAACGAUUCCUACGCCUCUGAGAUCAAGGAGCUGCAGCUGGUGCUGGCCGAGGCCCACGACAGCCUCCGGGGCCUGCAAGAACAGCUCUCCCAGGAGCGGCAGCUACGGAAGGAGGAGGCUGACAACUUCAACCAGAAAAUGGUCCAGCUGAAGGAGGACCAGCAGAGGGCGCUCCUGAGGCGGGAGUUUGAGCUGCAGAGCCUGAGUCUCCAGCGCAGGCUGGAGCAGAAGUUCUGGAGCCAGGAGAAGAACAUGCUGGUGCAGGAGUCCCAGCAGUUCAAGCACAACUUCCUGCUGCUCUUCAUGAAGCUCCGGUGGUUCCUCAAGCGCUGGCGGCAGGGCAAGGUUUUGCCCAGCGAGCGGGAUGACUUCCUUGAGGUAAAUAGCAUGAAGGAGCUGUACUUGCUGAUGGAGGAAGAGGAAUUAAAUGCCCAGCAUUCUGAUAACAAGACCUGCACGGGGGACAGCUGGACCCAAAACACGCCCAAUGAGUACAUUAAGACGCUGGCCGACAUGAAGGUGACACUCAAGGAGCUGUGCUGGCUGCUCCGGGAUGAGCGCCGGGGUCUGACUGAGCUUCAGCAGCAGUUUGCCAAGGCCAAGGCCACCUGGGAGACGGAGCGUGCAGAGCUCAAGAGUCACACCACCCAGAUAGAGCUGAAGGCCGGGAAGGGCGCUGGGGAACGGACAGGGCCCGAGUGGAAGGCCGCCCUCCAGAGGGAGCGGGAGGAGCAGCAGCACCUCCUGGCUGAGUCCUACAGCGCUGUCAUGGAGCUGACGCGGCAGCUGCAGGUCAGCGAGCGCAACUGGAGCCAGGAGAAGCUACAGCUGGUGGAACGGCUUCAGGGGGAGAAGCAGCAGGUGGAGCAGCAGGUAAAGGAGCUGCAGAACCGCCUGAGCCAGCUGCAGAAGGCUGCCGACCCCUGGGUCCUGAAGCACUCAGACUUGGAGAAGCAGGACAACAGUUGGAAAGAGACACGCAGUGAAAAGAUCCACGACAAGGAGGCUGUUUCUGAAGCUGAGCUUGGGGGAACCGGCUUAAAGAGGACCAAAUCUGUUUCCUCCAUGUCUGAGUUUGAAAGUUUGCUUGACUGUUCCCCCUACCUGGCCAGUGAAGCUGCCCGGGGCAAGAAGCUGCCCAACAACCCUGCCUUUGCCUUUGUGGGCACCCAGCCGGUGGACCCAGAGAAGGAUGCCCAGGCACAGCCACGGGACUGCGGCCGCCUGGGCGCCCUGGCCUGCCAGGACCCGGCAGGGAGGCAGAUGCAGCGCAGCUACACAGCUCCCGACAAGACGGGCAUUCGUGUCUACUACAGCCCCCCUGUGGCCCGGCGCCUGGGUGUCCCCGUGGUCCAUGAUAGGGAGGGCAAGAUCAUCAUCGAGCCCGGCUUCCUCUUCACCACCGCCAAGCCCAAGGAGUCGGCAGAGGCCAAUGGGCUGGCUGAAAGUUCCUACGGCCGGUGGCUGUGCAACUUCUCACGGCAGCGCCUGGACGGGGGCUCAGGGGGCGGCUCCCCGGCGGCGGGGCCUGGGUUCCCAGCAGCCCUGCACAACUUGGAGAUGUCAGGCAACAUGAGUGACGACAUGAAGGAGAUCACCAACUGUGUGCGCCAGGCCAUGCGCUCAGGCUCGCUGGAAAGGAAAGUGAAGAGCACGUCCAGCCAGACGGUGGGCCUGGCCAGUGUGGGCACCCAGACCACCCGCAUGGUCAGCGUGGGCCUGCAGACCGACCUGCCCCGCAGCAGCCUCCACGGCAAGAGCUGGUCACCCCGCAGCUCCUCACUCGUGUCCGUGCGCAGCAAGCAGAUCUCCUCCUCCCUGGACAAGGUGCACUCACGCAUCGAGCGGCCGUGUUGCUCGCCCAAGUAUGGCUCGCCAAAGCUCCAGAGGCGGUCUGUGUCCAAGCUGGACGGUGCCAAGGACCGCAGCCUGUGGAACCUACACCAGGGCAAGCAGAAUGGCUCGGCCUGGGCCCGCUCCACCACGACGCGGGACAGCCCCGUGUUGAGGAAUAUCAACGACGGGCUGUCCAGUCUCUUCAGUGUGGUGGAGCACUCGGGGAGCACGGAGUCCGUCUGGAAACUGGGCAUGUCUGAGGCCCGGGCCAAGCCCGAGCCUCCCAAGUACGGCAUCGUGCAGGAGUUCUUCCGCAACGUGUGCGGCCGGGCCCCCAGCCCCACCUCAGUGGCAGGGGAGGAGAGCACCAAGAAGCCGGAGCCCCUCUCCCCGGCCAGCUACCAUCAGCCAGAGGGCAUGGCUAGGAUCCUGAACAAGAAGGCACCCAAGUCAGGCAGCAGCGAGGAGGCCAGACUCUCCGUACUCCCCCAGGUGGGGAAAGAUGGUAUCCUCCGGGACGCAGAUGGAACCCCAGUCCUUCCCAGUGAGGAUGCUGUUUGUGACUGCAGCACCCAGUCUCUCACCUCCUGCUUCGCCCGGCCAUCCCGCUCUGCCAUUCGCCACUCUCCUUCCAAGUGCAGGCUGCACCCUUCAGAGUCCAGCUGGGGUGGGGAAGAGAAAGCAGCCCCUCCCAGCGAGUGACAGCAGCUGAGCUCCCUGCCUCGACCAGCCCAGGCCAUGGACAGCAGAAGGAAACCAGCGGAGAGGAGGGUCAUGCCCUCCGCAUCGCCUUGCCCUGGGGGGUAGCAGCUGCACCACUGCUAGAGAACAGCUUUCAAUCCCCAAGAUGAGGAGUCAGGCCCAGAGAAGAGAAUGGCUCACCCAAGUUCACACAGCAAACUAGAGGCAGAGCCAGGACCAAAACCCAGGUUUUGGCAUCUGUGAUCUUGGUUGUGCCUCUUCCUCUAUCUGGGCUGUCUGCUCACUUCCCACCUCUCAUCUAUCCUCUCUUUUACCAUCUUCUUCCAAAGUUUCCCCUCCCCCUGCCUCCUCUUCUCUGCUGGUUCCUGCCCGCAGACCCAGUGCCCUGGCCAAUGGCCAGGUUUUCCUCUUCUGGACCCUGAGCUUACUUGUAGCAUCCAUCCCUCAGCCCUCCCAGAAUGGUCUCCCCAGUACUACUCCCCUCCCAUGGAUUUCCCUGUAACCUCAGCACCUCACAUCCCCCUUCCCCCUGUCCCCAGGCUCAUAUUCCUGUCUUAUCAGGGAAGUGCCCAAGGUUGGUCUUCCAACUCAUGUUUGCUUUCAGAUCAGGGGGUGUUUUCUGGGUUCUGUUUUAUUUUGUGUUUUCUCACACCAAAGGGGGCACCUUUCCCCAAUGCCUUAGGUGGCAUCAGCCUUACCAGCCCUUCUCAUUGGGCUCGGCCCCAGCCAACCCCCAGUCCAGAAACAUCUCCUAGUCCCAUCUUUGAGUCACAUUAUCUUCUCUAUCCACAGCCUGCCGGAAGGACCCCAGCAUUUCCCACUGUGUGUGUGUGUGUGGGGGGGGGGGGGGGCGGGGGUGUUGGAUCCUCACUUCUGGCCUCUACCCUGCCCAGUCCUGCAUGGCCUUGGUUGAGGAGAUGCAGCCUGGCUUGGGGUCUUCUCUCCCUGGUCAUCUGUCCAUUUGACAUCCCACCACUCUUUGCUCUCCCUUGGGCCUCACCAGCUCCGGAACAACUAGCUCAUCCUGGCUGAACCUGUAGCUGACCCUGGCUCUGCCCCUCCCCCUCCCAAAAUGCUUGCAGUUUGCAAAGUCCACAGACCCAAGAACUAAAGGAGACAUGAUGCUGGGCCUGAGUCCUGUCUGUGCCCAGGGCUCCUCCCACUCCUCCCUCAUACUCCUUGGACCAUCCCUUAUUUAUCCCAUCGACCCCGCUCCUGUCUCUUCCUGCCUUUCACCAGCCCUCUGGAUCCCAGACCCCAAGCAAAGGAGCUUUGGUUUCCUCUAAGCAUCCUUGAAGGGUUAGGGUAGUCAGGCCUGGCUGCCUUGAAACACUCCAUUCUGACACCACUCAAACUGCUCCCCUGAGGAGAAACCUCAGCCAGCAGUCUGAGACUUGCCUCAGGUCUGGGCAGACCUCUUAACUCCCCUGAGUUUAGCUGGUUGUAUAAUGUAAUCAUGAGAACUAGGGUGAUCCCUAGGGCCUUAGGGUAUCCCUCAUGUUUUGGGGUCCUGCAUCACCAUCCUCUCUUCACUGGACCCUGGUAUCCUAGCUCUUCUCUCAGCUCAGCCCCUGAUCUCUGUGCCUUAGUUCACUUCUCCGCACAGGGGAUUCACCACAAGAUGAUUCCUAGCAGCUUCCCAGUUAUUUGGUGCCUCCGAGGCUGGGCCUUGCCAGGUCACUGAGGAUGGGAUACCUGGGGGUUCUCAAAGCAGCUGGAACAUCACCUGGAAACUUGAUAGAAAUGCAAAGUAUUGGCACCAUCCGAGACCUACUGAAUUCGAACUUCUGGGCUGGGGCCCAGCAAGCUGGGGUUUAACAAGCCCUCUGGAUAAUUCUGAUAAAACAGGAGUUUGCCUACUGCUGACCUAUGCUAGCAAUUAGUGCAGCCUGGUGAGGGACUGAGGCUGGCCCAGACCAGGAACAGGUGGGAAAUACCAACUCUAGACUCCUGAAAGACUGGGAACUCUCCUUACCUGCCCCCCACCCCCACCCCAACAAAACCCAUGUCCUCCUUGGGAGCUGGAGGACAGGGAGAAGGCACACAUUUUUCCUUUUCCUGCCCCUGGCUUGGUUCCAGCUUUGCUCACCUCUCCCACUUGUCUGGGUUUUACAAAAGGUUAUGUAGGUUGUACAAGCCACGCAGGGGUUGGCAGUCCUGGGACAGGAGAAAAAGACCCUGCCCAUUUAUCCCUUGGGAACUUCAUAGGCUCAUGGCCUCUCUUCAAAUGGAAAGAAACCUAACUCAAGAGAAAAAUCCUACAUCCCCAGCUCCUCCUCCUCCCACCUCCAAGGAGAUCUUGCAGAUUGUGCCAAAAAGCAGCUCCAACCCCCAGUGACGGGAAGAGAGCCAGAAGCUGUCCUUCCUUUCCAUCCUGCCCCUCCCAACUCCUGCCAAUACUGUGAAGCCCCUUCCUGCCCAGCCUGGUUUCCUGGUGAGGGUCCUGCAGUCGAGGGCCCAGGGAAAGGUCUUCAGGAGGGAAGAAACCAAGGGCAUCCUUGGGCCAAACUGUCUGCCUCUCCUGUCCACUGUCCUCUUCUGCUCACUCCUAUCUUUAAAGGCUCCUUCCCAGGAUGGAUUGGGUGCUAGGAUGACUGUGGUCCAAUCCACCAGCUCUCCCUGCCCCUAUGUCUUAUUUCAGACAUGAGAAUAACUGUACAGUGUAAACUUACAAAGGGUUUUUAAUGGUUGUAGAUUGGAAAUAAAGUAUGUCAUAUGAACAGUUUC